rnacentral:rRNA from 1 species
GAUGAACGCUGGCGGCGUGCCUAAUACAUGCAAGUCGAGCGAACAGACGAGGAGCUUGCUCCUCUGACGUUAGCGGCGGACGGGUGAGUAACACGUGGAUAACCUACCUAUAAGACUGGGAUAACUUCGGGAAACCGUAGCUAAUACCGGAUAAUAUUUUGAACCGCAUGGUUCAAUAGUGAAAGACGGUCUUGCUGUCACUUAUAGAUGGAUCCGCGCUGCAUUAGCUAGUUGGUAAGGUAACGGCUUACCAAGGCAACGAUGCGUAGCCGACCUGAGAGGGUGAUCGGCCACACUGGAACUGAGACACGGUCCAGACUCCUACGGGAGGCAGCAGUAGGGAAUCUUCCGCAAUGGGCGAAAGCCUGACGGAGCAACGCCGCGUGAGUGAUGAAGGUCUUCGGAUCGUAAAACUCUGUUAUUAGGGAAGAACAAAUGUGAAAGUAACUGUGCACGUCUUGACGGUACCUAAUCAGAAAGCCACGGCUAACUACGUG